UACGAAGGGGGCUAGCGUUGCUCGGAAUCACUGGGCUUAAAGGGCGCGUAGGCGGGUCUGAAAGUCAGGGGUGAAAUCCCACGGCUCAACCGUGGAAGUGCCUCUGAUACUUCAGGUCUCGAGGGAGGUAGGGGCGUGCGGAACUUCCGGUGGAGCGGUGAAAUGCGUAGAUAUCGGAAGGAACGUCGGUGGCGAAAGCGGCGCGCUGGACCUCUUCUGACGCUGAGGCGCGAAAGCCAGGGGAGCGAACGGG
rnacentral:rRNA from 1 species